rnacentral:lncRNA from 1 species
CCGCGCCGCUCUGCUCGGCCUGGCGGCCGUCUUCGCCGUCACGGCCACCACCGGGUCGGCCAAGGCCACGAUCUUCGAUGAGUACCUCGAGAAGAGCAAGGCCAACAAGGUCGGUCAGUGUUUCGUUGGUGUUUGUUACGUUGCUAGCGAGCGUACCACCAAAACUAAGGGCAUCAAUUUAAAAAACCCGUUUAAUUUCGAUGGAAGCGAAACUGAAACCUGACAAGGUUUCUUUGCUGCGACCAGGAGCUGAACGACAAGAAGAGGCUGGCCACCAGUGGAGCCAACUUUGCGCGCGCCUACACCGUGGAGUUCGGCAGCUGCCAGUUCCCCUACAACUUCACUGGGUGCCAGGACCUCGCCAAGCAGAAGGUUCAUUCUCUCAUCAUCACACACAUAUAUAACAAACCUCACCGCGCGGCCUGCUGACAAUAAUCUGAACUGGUUUCUUCUCAUCCUGUGCCGUGUCGUCCGUGCUUCAUUGUGCUCUUGCAGAAAGUCCCCUUCAUCAGCGACGACCUCGAGAUUGAGUGCGAGGGGAAGGAGAAGUUCAAGUGCGGCUCCAACGUUUUCUGGAAGUGGUGAAGCAGCUAGCAGCAGCGUCUGAUGGGAAUGGAGGAGAUCAUCACCUGUCUUGUCGACCCUAGAUAUGUCCAAACUGCAGGGAAAUUAAAUCUUCAUGUGUAAUUGUGCUCAUUCUGUUUCAAUCAUCUCAACAUCCGAUCAUGAACCUCUUGCAUUAUUAACUGGCUCGAUCGUCUUCUCAGUUUAAGACAUUGGAGGCUGCUUUGUUUGUUUCAGAGGUCCUUCUUAAGAUGAUGCUAUAUUUUGUCAUGGUUAAUGUGAUAAACAGGGUCAGGUCGGAUUAUUCUUGAAUAUAUAAAAUAGAAUUUUAGGCUCUAGCAAACCAGUAUAUGAGCAAAAGAAAAUUUGGAAACAAGAAAGUACCUAGAUGUAAAAAAAUAUGAACAAUAAGAAGAGAAUAAUAACAGUAGUAGUCUAUACCACUAGAUAAUCCAACAGUUUAAACAUUACAAAACUCACCUAACCAAAUCAUCCACACACCAAUAACCUCCACAAACAAAUUGCACCCAGACUUAACAUACCAUUAAAACCAAAGGUUCAGAUCUUCCAUUACUUACUCAAAUCCAAUAACAAUAUUAUUUACAUCAUCUCUCAUCCACCCCCUCUCCCUCCGACUCACUCGUGCCGCCACCACCGUCAACCCCGCCCCUCAUGUCGUCGUCGUCAUCGUCGACCCUUCCCCUCCUCGGGGUCAUAGCCGUAGUGAGAUUGCGUAUAAUGUGUGAGAUGCAUUGCAUUGAGCUUUUAGGGAGAAUAUAGAAGUACAUAACUUGGAGGGCAAGAAGUCUAUCCUAAAGAUGACAAAGGUUAUCCUAGAGAUAAGAAAGGUUAUUCCGAGAUUACAAUCAAUCCAAUCAACCUUAACCAACCAUAUCAGAUUUUGCCUAAUAUCACUACCGGAAUUGGCCGCUUUGCCGAGUGCCUGAAGCACUCGGCAAAGUCUAAAAAACACUCGGCAAAGUCUUUGCCGAGUGUCGCACUCGGCAAAGUCUAUGCCGAGUGUCGCACUCGGCAAAGAGGGCUCGAUGAACAGUGCAUCGGCAAAGACUUCUUUGCCGAGUACUUUUUCUCGGGCACUCUUGCCGAGUGCCAGAAGGUACUCGGCACAGACUUUGCCGAGUGCCAGAAGGUACUCGGCAAAGAAAAGCCGCCGUCACGGUGCCGGGGUGAUGGAGACGUCGUCUUUGCUGAGUGUCUCCUAAUGCACUCGGCAAGCAAGUUCCUCUUUGCCGAGUGUCUGCCGGCUAGCACUCGGCACAGAAUCCAUCAGGGGUCCCUUUGUCAGGUUCUUUGUCGAGUGCUCUGUAUGGCACUCGGCAAAGCGUGCCUCUGUGCCGAGUGCCAGGGCCACUACACUCGGCAAUGAACCUAUACCGGUGCCUAGGUCUUGGUUCUUUGCCGAGUGCUAUGGCCAUGACACUCGGCAAACCCCCUCUUUGCCGAGUCUAACACUCGGCAAAGUGACCAGUACACACCUUUUUAUUUGUUUUUUCUAUUCCAUCCAAACAAACAAAAGAUACAUCACAUAUAUUAUCACAUAUAUCACAUAUAUACAUCAUAGAUAUCAUCACAAACAUAAAAUAUCUAACACAAACAUUAAUAUACAAGUUCUCAACACAAACAUAAGUAUCAACACAAGUCCAGAAGUAUAAAAACAUAAUUUUCAAGCUCUAACAUAAGUAUUCAACACAAGUUCUGAAGUCUGAACACUAAAAACAUAGCUCUCAUCGAGGUGGGCUGUUAGACUGGUGCUACGAUGGGCUGGGCUGUUCAUGAGGGUUGUUGGAUGCCGCCCCAGAUUGGCCUUACACAGAGAAGACAUUGCAUGUUUUAUACCAGAUGCAUUACCAACAUCUAACUACAAUUUUGAUACUCACAGGAGUAUGAAACAAAGUAGGGUCAAUUGUAGGGAACAAUGGAGGUGGUGGAGCGAAACUCUGUGCAGCGCCAAGGCUCUGCAUGUAUUGGAACAUCUCCGCCAUUCUCUGCUAAUCUGCCAGGCGAGCCGCCCGCUCCGCCUCCCGCUCCACCAUCAUCCUUGCCUCCAUCUCGUGACGUUCCCUCCUCUCUUCCUCUAGCUGGGUCUAUAAUAUUACAAGCCAAUGUUAUAGUAACUCAAAGAGAAGGUAUAUAACUCAAGUAAUGACGAGUUACAGAAGCACUAACCUCCAGUUGUUGUAUGCGAUGCUGUGAGCUAUCGUGCCGAGGUCGUGUGGCUGGACUCGAGCCCGUGCUCCUUGCUCGCACCUGAGACAAAGUGGGAGUGGAGGACGAGUCGAUUGCCCCAUCGGCAAUCCAGUACCGCCUCUGUCUCUUGCCUCCUUCGACCCUCAUGAGCACAUCGAGGUCGAUCUCCUUGGUCCUCGGAUCGUAUUCUAGGCCAUGGACCUCCUGCGCCAUGGCGAUAUAGUCAUGAAGGCGACUGUAGACGGCGGGGUUGCUCUACGCCUCGGGCCCGUCAUCCGGGUUGUAGGUGACGUCGGACGUCGCCUUGCCCUUAUGGGCCAUAGCAUAGGCCGAGAAGAUGGAGCAAGGCUGGCCACCAUGUGACGCCGACUUCAAAAAAACCAACGAUAUAGUUAGAAAUAAUAUCUAAUCCAGUGUUAUAUACCUAAAUAAAAAGAGGGCGUACCCAUGCUUCUGCAUAUUUGUCGAGGCUGCGGCUGCCUUGGUGGUGCGAGGGACCUUGCAUCAUUAGACGUCAUUCCCGGCUAGCGUUGUGUGCCUCGUCCCACUCAGUCGAGCACCACCUAUCCACCAUCUGCUCCCAGCACAGAGGAUGUGCGGCGCACCAAUAUGGAAUCAUCUACAAAGUAAACACGUAAACUGCAUAUUAGAAGAUAAAAUUAAAUUCAUGCAUGGAGUACUGGUACCAAACAUGAAUGACUUUACAUGCAGGUACUGGUCCCUGGUCAACGACAUGGUUUGGGCUUGCUGCUUGGUCACCUUCUCCCUAAGGACGGACCGUGGUAGCUGACGAUGGCCUGGAUUUGGGCCUCAUAGUGCAUGUCCACGACGAGCUUCUUACAGUUCGUGGUGGCCACCACAUCCGCCCUAGCCUCGUAUCCAGUCUCGCAUCUGUAGUAAUUCUGCAUACAAAAACGAUGUAUCCAUACAUUAUUUCAAGAAUGUGCAAUGAAUGCAACAUAUUUUACAUUACACUAAAACUUACCCACAGCUCUUGCUUCACCCACUCCGGCUUGUUUUUGAAUUCUCGACCGUCCCGGUCUACUGCAUUGGGUGCGAUGGCGUAGUGGUCGAAGGUGUAGGCUGGGCCCAUCACUCCGGCGUACUCAACCAGUCUAGGGAAGUGUUCCCUGCAUAGCAGGCUGAGGAUGCCAUUGGGGUUGUGACGAUGACCCCCAGCAUUCUCCACAACCGCCCAAGACCUGUCCAAGUGAUAAAUAAAAAGUAUUAGUUUAUAUUAUGAUUUUGAACACAUAAUAUGAACAAGAAUGAAGAACAUAAAGUUUCAUGCCUCUCCCCAUCUGGCCGAAUCAGUGGCCGCCUGUCCCGAAGUUUUGACGCUGAGGGAGACUCACGGGACCUCGCAGGUAGACGCUCCUCGAGCCUCAGGUGCAAGAACCUGAGGCGUCCUGCUGAGCUUCGUCGUCGUCCUGCUGCUGGUCGUGGUCGUCCUGCUGCGCCGCCUGGUGCUGGACAAGGUCGUCCUGCUGCGCCGCCUGUUGUGCCUCGUCCUGCUCUGCCUCGUCCGUCGUCCUGCUCCUCCUCCCCCUCCGCCUCCUCAGCCAACCGCCCACCAUCUUUGUCCAACAACCUGCAAUUAAGAGUAAACAAAUAAGCACAUAUAAAAAGAUGUAUUUAAAAAUAGGUGCGAAAUAAAAAGUCAUAUAGCAUUAAAUCGAUUAAAAAUAAUCUUCAUAUGUGUCGGGGUUAGCCGGAUCAUAACUCUCAUCAUCACUAUCAACCACUUCAUAGCCAACACCAUCUGAAGGCGCAAGUUCGUCAUUAAUGUCAUUGCCUUCAAGGAUUACUAAGUCAUUCUUAUUUUGCACCUCAUCCUCCUCCUCAUCAACAACCAUUUCAAUAUCUACGUCUAUUCCGAUAGCUUCGGUUAAGUCUAUCUCAAAUUGCCCUUCUAGCCCAUCUUCUUGGAAGAACUCUCCAUCAUAUGUGUCCGAGUCUAAGUUAUAAUCUUCAUCGUUAGGAACAAGUAAUCUCCCAUGCGGUGAUACCUUAUACACAACAUCCCAACCCUUAAGAUGUUCUUUCGUUUGACACGCAUAUGGGAGAUAAUACACUUGUGUGGCCUAUUGGGCCACGAUAUAGACAUCGUCUCCUGGUAAGGUGGAAUCUUGUCGAAUUUCGACUAUCCCAAGAUUAGAAUGUGUCCGUCUCGUCACUUGAGGGUCAAACCAAUGACAUUUGAAUAUCACUGGAGUAAGAGGUUUGGAACCAUAAAAAUUAAGUUCAUAUAUUUCUUCGAUUCGUCCAAAAUAAUCGACAUCAUCAAGGCCGGGCGUAAAGACUCCAGAACACGUUGUUUUCCGAUUGGGCCGACUUUGGUUGUAGUUUGUUGUGCGAAAACGGUAUCCAUUGACGUCAUACCCAGAAUAUUUCUUGACCCUAUAAGCAAAGCCGUUGGCUACUUGUCUCAACUCGGCACUCAUAGACGGAUCUCUUUGGCCCUGCAAGUAUUCGCAAGUUAAAAGACACUAAAUUGAGUUCAUAGACGGAUCUCUUUGACAAACUAAGCACGUACCUUACGUUUGAACCAGGAAAUGAAAUCGAGCAAUCCAUUUCUCGCACCCUUUCUAAGAAGAGUAUCAUAUUCCUGUGGAGUUAGGUCCCUUGAUCGACGCCAGAAUUCAUGAAGAAAUUGUUCCAUGUAUGGCGUCACCUCUUCAAGGUUGGUCAAUACAUAUAGCAUGAUAUACCGCCACUCUUCAUGUGUCAGGGUCUUGGUGGUCGAGCCACUUGCGCUUUCGAGUUGGCCUCGAAAUAUGCUGAGGUUCGAUUCAUUAUCACCAUCAUUGUAACGAGGGGGUGGGUUAUGCACGCUUGGUAGUUUGUCACCAUAGUAAGUUGUUGUGAAGUUUGACACCUCCUCUUGAAUGUAUGCCUCUGCAAUGGAAGCCUCGAUUUUGCAUUUAUUUCUACAUUUCUUUUGAAUAGUCUUUAGACAUCUCUCGAUUUGAUAGCACCAACGUCCCUGCACGUGCCCCCCAUUCGUGCCUCAUAGGGGAGAUGAAGAAUCAAAUGCUGCAUUGGAUUGAAGAAGUCGGGGUGGAAAUAUAUUCUCAAGCUUACACAGUAACACGGGUGCCAAUCUUUCCAAGUCUGCAACCAUAGUCCGAGAUAACUCUUUUGCACAAAGCUGAUGGAAGAAAUAGCUCAACUCUGAAAGCGCUAGCCAGACAUGCUCAGGGACAUAACCUCGAACCAUCACAGGAAGAAUCCGUUCAAUCCAUAUGUGGAAGUCAUGACUCUUCAUCCCUAAGACUCGCAGAGUAGAUAAGUUCACCCCCUACCCAGGUUAGCUACAUACCCAUCAAGGAACAUCAACAUCUUGAUCCACUGAAGUACUUCCUUCCUCUGGGCCCUGCUUAGGACAAAAUUGGCCUUAGGCCUUCUCCAUGUCUUUCCACCACUUGGCGGCUUCAUCUCUUGGUUUGGUCUAUCACAUAACGCUGCCAGAUCCACUCUUGCCUUUAUGUUAUCCUUUGACUUAUCAGGAAUGUCCAUAAUUGUUGCCCAAAGUGCCUCGGCAACAUUCUUUUUAGUGUGCAUCGCGUCAAUGUUGUGUGGAAGGAGCAGGUCGUCAUAAUAGGGGAGCCGAGUCAAGCCCGACUUAUGUGUCCACAUAUGCUGCUCACCAUAUCCCAUAAAACCACCUUCUGUAUUGGCCACGAGCCCAUCUAUCUGUUGAUGAAUUUUGGCACCAGUGAUCGUUGCAGGUGGGCGGUCUGUCACUACGACACCUUUCGUAAAGUUCUUGAUGUCUAGGCGGAAUGGAUGGUCAGGAGGGAGAAAUUGUCGAUGUUUAUCGAAGGACGAAUAUUUGCCACCCUUUUUCAACCAAAUGAACCUUAGAGCUUCCUUGCAAACUGGGCAUGGGAACUUACCAUGAACACACUAGGCGCAGAAUAGCCCAUACGCCGGUAAGUCAUGCAUAGAGUACUGGUACCAAACAUGCAUUCUGAAGUUUGUCUUCGUGGCUCGGUCAUACGUCCAUACCCCUUCCUCCCAGGCACGUACCAAUUCAUCGAUCAAAGGCUCCAUGUACACGCCCAUUUUAUUCCCCGGGUGUCCGGGAAUUAUCAACGACACGAAUAUAUUCUGCCUUUGAAAGGACACACCGGGGGGAGAUUGAUUGGGAUAACAAACACGAGCCAACAUGUGUACGGGCAGCGCUCAUUCCAUAGGGAUUGAACCCAUCUGUGGCCAGCGCAACACGUACAUUACGAGCCUCUUCGGCUUUCUCACGGUGAAUGGCAUCAAAGCGUUUCCAUGCUUCACCAUCGGAUGCGUGCACCAUCUUGUCAGGAUUGUAUCGUUUUCCAUUUUUGUGCCAUGUCAUCUGUUUCGCGGAUUCCUCGGUCAUGUAUAGACGCUGGAUCUGCGGUAUGAACGGAAGAUGCCGUAGGAUUGUCAAGGGGAUGUCGAGCUGCCUCUUCUGUCCAUCACCAGAGUCUAGCUCCAUGAACAUAGACGAUUUACACUUGGGAUAGUACUUUGCCUUCGCGUAUUCUUUCUUAAAUAGCACGCAGCCCUUCAGACAAGCAUGUAUCUGCUCAUACGUCAUCUUGAGUGCACGAAGGAGUUUAUGUGCCUCGUACAUGCUCUUUGGCAGAACGUGAUCCUUCGGAAGCAGGCUCCCAAUAACCGUUAACAAGCCAUCGAAUGCGUCUCGACUCAUGUUGUACUACGACUUGAACGCCAUUACACACCCAAUGGCAUCCAGUUGAGAAACCUUUGUCUGGCCGUGAAGGAGCUUUUGUGCCACGUCAAACAUGUCAUAGAAUGCCUUUGCAGUCGGCUCUGGCUCGUCAUCCGUACAUCCACCGACGUACUGUGCCUCCUAAUAGUCGUUCAACAUAUCCGCUACCCUCACAUCGGCAUCAUAAUCCUCGACGCGUUGUCUCAGCACCUCCUCUCUCGUACGAUGCACUUCACCAUGAAAGAUACACCGAGUAUAGUCCGGCAUAAAUCCAUUCUUCUAAAUAUGUUCUACCAUGGCCUUCAUUGAUUUUCUCUUCUGUUUGGCACAUUUGCUGCACAGGCAUGGGACUAGACUCGCUCCUUUAGCAGCUUCGCCAUAUGCCCGUUCCACGAAAUCAUCGGUCUUUCUAAUCCAUUCAGGGGUGACAUCGUUCCUUCCUCUACGGCCCAUGUACAUCCACUCACGGUCCUCCAUCCUCUAACAGAAGCCUAUCAAUAGAAAAUUUUGGCAACACCUCCGCUGCACGGGGAGGUUUCGAAAUCCUACAUAUAAAAGUAUCAGCACGAUGGCUGACAUCCAUGUAUAAUUCAACGGCACGAUGGCCGACAAUCACAUCUAUAUAUAUUCAAUCCAUGAGAGAUAACACAACAAAACUGCAUUUACAUGGAAACUACAUUUACAUGAUUUACAUAUUUCAUUCACAAAUUCUCAAUGAGACUAUAGCCUAACUUACAUGAUUUACAUCCUAUCAUUCACAGAUUUACAUUAUUUACAUCCUAUCAUUCACAAAUUUACAUGAUUUACAUCCUAUCAUCUAAUCAAUAAUAAAUACAAAGUGACACGUAAUAAAUACAAAUCUAAAUCAUGAACAAAUUCAUACCUAGUGGAGAUCGUCGAGGACGGGCGUGAGUCGCGUGGGGGCGGCGGUUGGGCCGCGCGGGUUAGGGCGGUGCGGGUCAGGGCGGUGCCGGCGGGGGGUGGUGCGCGUGGCGGUGCCAGCGGGGAGCCGGCGAGGGGUGGUGCGUGUGGCGGGGCCAGGCGGCGGUGGUGGCUGGGCGGGGAGGCGGGGCGUGGGGAGGCGGGCUCCGACGGCAGAGGCAGUGGGCGCGGGGAGGCGCGGCGGUGGUGGCCGGGUCAUGGGGAGGCAGCGGUGGGGAGGCGGGGCGUGGGGAGGCGCGGUCGUAGGGAGGCGGUGACAGGUGAGGAUGGGCGGGUCGCCGGUGGGGAGGCGGCGGCGGUGAGGACGGGUGAGUGAGAGUGAAAGAGGAGAAGGAGAGGCUGCAGACGGUUAAGUGUCGCUUCUUUGCCGAGUGCCCGCGAUCUGGCACUCGGUAAAGAUUUUUUUAAUUUAAAAAAAUACUUUGCCGAGUGCCUACUGACAGGUACUCGGCAAAGACUGGAUUUAGGGUUUUUGUCGGGUGUCCCACGGCUAUUACUCGGCACAGACGUCUUUGCCGAGUGUCAUCACUAGACACUCGGCAAAGUAUAUUUUUAUUUUUUUAAGUUUCCUUACCAAACUUUUUCUGGUAUGUUCCUACACUAUGUAGACCUACAUGUACCAUUUUGGCACAUUUAUAAAAGUGUUUCCUAUAACUAUUGGAUUUAGUUCGUUUAAUGGAAUUUUCUUCGAUAAUUUAGAUUUGAACUGCAAGUUACUCGAAACUUGGAAAACCGUGUAUGAAAAAAUGAUAUUCAUGCUAUUUAGCACAAGUUAUGACCGAUUUCAAGAGCGGACCAGAAACUUCGAGCACCAAGCUCACUAAACAUGGUCGUGAACUUGCCAUCCAGUUGUUUCAAAAUUGUAUAAGACACAAACAAAGUCAGAAAAUCAUGAAACUUGUCCACAUGUCAUUAUAUCAUAUAUAGAGGCUGUGAUAAAAAUUUGAGAAUGUUUCGAAAAAGUUGUGAGACGGUAUGUGUAUGAACCUAAGAGAAGUACACAUGAAAUCACAGAGUUUCAAUGUACUUCUCUUAGGUUUAUACACAUACUUUCUCACAACUUUCUCGAAACAUUCUCAAAUUUUUAUCACAACCUCUAAAUAUGAUAUCAUGAAAUGUGGACAAGUUUUAUGAUUUUCUGACUUUGUUUGUGUUUUAUACAAUUUUGAAACAGUUGAAUGGCAAGUUCAUGACCAUGUUUAGUGAGCUUGGUUCUCGAAGUUUCCGGUCCGCUCCUGAAAUUGGUCGUAACUUAUGCUAAAUAGCAUGAAUAUCAUUUGUGCAUGCACGAUUUUCCAAGUUUUGAGUGACUUGCAGUUCAAAUCUGAAUUAUCGAAGAAAAUUCCAUUAAACGAACUAAAUCCAAUAGUUAUAGGAAACACUUUUAUAAUUGUGCCAAAAUGGUACAUGUAGGUCUACAUAGUGUAGGAAUAUACCACAAAAAGUUUGGUAAGAAAACUUAAAAAAAUAAAAAUAUACUUUGCCGAGUGUCUAUGGAUGACUCUCGGCAAAGACGUCUGUGACGAGUGUCAGCCGUGGGACACUCGGCAAAGAAGCUUCUUUGCCGAGUGUCAACGCCCGACGCUCGGCAAAAUCUAACGGCCGUCAGUUAUAGACGGCUGCUGACGGCCUUUUGCCGAGGGCCGCCUUCGCCGAGAGUUUAGCACUCGGCAAAGAUAGCUUUGCUGAGUGUAGUUUUUUUCCGUGAGUCCUGCUCUCGGCAAACACGUUCGUUACCGAGAGCUAGACUGUGUCGAGUGCCCGACAAAAAGCACUCGGCCAAGGGCCAAGCACUCGGCAAAGCCACAGAUUCCGGUAGUGUAUAUAUACUCUAAUCGUAGCGUUAGCAUGGGAUAUAUGCCAGUGACAACAACAACAUUAGUAAUAAUAAGAUCCUAAGACAAUUAAAGAAUAUAUAAGUUUUUUUAGUUCUUUAUAUAUUUCUAAUUGGCGUAACCAAUAGUUACGUUUCUUAUGUUAAAAACUAUACACCCUAGAAAUAUCUAUUGGUAUUCCUAAACUUCGCAUGAAUCACUACUACAGAAUGAAAUAUCUAUACCAGUUGAGAAUUGGUCACGGUACCGAAUUUCCAACCGGUACUUGUCAUUUAGAAUUAAAGACCUCAGUUUUUAAUACCGGUUGUAUGAACCCGUACUAAAGUUGAAACUUUGGUACCGGUUCUUGGCAUGAACCGAUACUAAAGAUGUAACUUUUAGUACCGCUUCAUGCCAAGAAUCGGUACUAAAUGUUACAUCUUUAGUACCGGUUAGAACUGUUACUAAAAUAUUAAUGGACUUUUUAUUAUAUGCUUACGCACAUUAAAAUGGUUGUGUACAUUAAUUUAUUUAUAUAUAUACAUAUGUAAAUGUGUAGAUUCAUAUAUACAUGUGUAGAAUCAAUAAUAUAUACAUUAAUAUUCAUGUGUAGAUUCAAAUAUACAAAUGGAUAUUUAUAUUAACAGUAAUACAUACAAAUGCCUAUGAAGUUUCCUAACUUCUAAAAAUAUCUCUAUUUCUAUGUUCUUAAUAUGAAUCUUCUUUAUCUUCUGCAUGUUGAAGAUUUUGUCGAUCAUAAUAGAACUCUCCUUCUUUGGAUACGACAUCUCUAUUUAUAAAAGCAUAUAAGUUGUUAUUGAAUUGCUUCUAUCCUAUCCAUAGUGAAUACUUUUUCCUUCAUCUUUAUUAUCUGUCAUUUGCCAAUAACAUUGAUAAAAAGUGUUAUUGUAUUAAAUUGAAAGCUGGUAUACUUUAUUGAUAUGAAAUUAACAUCAACACUGUAGAAAAUGUUGAUGUACCUCGAUAUUUUUGGCCACUGACUUGUUACCUAUGAAUGUCUGAAUAAAUUCACAAAUGUAGUAACCAUAGAGGUGGUUUCCUUUUUCCUAUAUCAAACACUAAAAUCGAGAAACAAGUAAUGAAUUAUUAUUAGCAAAUAACUUGAGGGAUCGGAAAGCUACAAACGUACAUGAAAGUUUGACCUAAUCUAAAGAGUUUCUUUUAGGCUGACAUGCUUUUUCAUAGCCAACUCAUGCACUGCAUAAUGAAAAUUACAAGUCUUUGGUACAUGCAUGAUUCAAUUAUUUAGAGGUUUAUAGAGUUAGGUUUGAAUGGUAAGAAUUACUCUUUAAGAAGGUAUAUUAUUUCUUUUAAGUCAUCGACUUGCUUCCUCAAGGAGUCAAGGAUAAAUAUAAUACCUUCUUCCAUUAAGAUCACCAAAAGUACCCAUUGAAAGUUGUAGGAAAGUUACAAAAAGGUAGAACAAAUUAGAAAUACACAUUUAGUCUAAAAAGGUAUGGGUACAAAAAGAUAAUGGACACUAACUUAAAAUUAUAUGGAAUUAGUAUACAUUACAUAUAGUGUUGCUUUGUGAAGGAACUUGUGCGGUCUUUGUAGGAUAGCCGACCGAUAUCCCUAAUUGUUAUUUGGUUUAUGUGCACUAGGUCCAUGAAGUCAAUAUUGAAAAUCCCUUCUUUACAACAUCGUUGGAUGUCCAUGCUUUAGAAAACAUAGUAGGUGUAAGAGAACUUCAGUUAGCAUUGAAUAUAUAUUAUUCAGUAGUGGACAAGAGAGAAGGUAAAUACUUAUAGAACUCAGGUGCUGGGUCUAACGCAUUCCACCGGUAUAUAUCAAAUAUAUUGUUAAAAUCGAGCCACAUCACAUCAACAUUGUUGAAGUAGUGGUCUUGUAUAAACACACAAAAGGUGACCCUAUCAGCGGUUGAAUCCUUCAAAUAUCAACUGUCUUGGAAUCUGUUCAAUUGUGUUGUAAGUUCGGAACCUCUUCUAGAGUAUAGGCCGACCUUGCUUGAAUUGCCAUGCAAACUAAUGUGAUGGCAUAUUUUCUUUGUGUAUUUUUUCUUUUCUUUUUCAAGCAUGUGCCCAUAGUUUUGUACCAUCUAGAAUACAAGAUUACCACUUCAGUGAAUUGGCUUGGCACGAUGGUAUACUUGCCCAUUCCAAUGCUUAGCUUUUCUUCUUAAUGGGUGUUUAGCCACAAGAAAUCAACGAUGGGUUGUAUAAACAAUUUUUCUAUAGUGACGUAGAUACAAGCAUCUGUCUCAUCUAAACAAUGGGUGCAGACAUUGAAUCCAUUAUCCUAAUAGAUUUGAAUGUGCAGGCCAAUUGUUGAUGGUUAUGAAUAACAAAGCACAUCAUUAAAAGCCUUCUUGUGCUCGUCCCACAUACAACACCUUUGGACCACAAUUGUAAAAAGCUCAUCCACCAAUGGUUUUAGGUACGCAUCAAUGUUGUUAAUAGAUUGUUUUGGCCCUUCAAUAAGCAGCAGCAUCAUUAUGAACUUUUGCUUUAUACAUAGCCAGGGUAUACAUAUAUAGAGUCACAUGCUGAGGAUAUGACCACUGCCCUACUCGCUGAAAGGGUUCAUGCCAUCGGUGGUUAAACCAAACCUUACAUUUUUUGCAUCCUCUACAAACUCUAAGAAUGUUCUAUUAACUUUACACCAAUGUGAACCAUUACUCUCUUCUUUGUGCAACCACAUUAUCUUGGUGUGCUCUUUGUUACGAAACAAAUGUUUCAAUCGUGGUAUUAUAGGGAAGUACUGUUGGUCACUUGUUUUCAAUUGCUAUGAAUCAAAAACAAGGCAACACACACAUGUUAAACGUUAAGGACCUUCAUCCUUCGAAGCAUUAUCCUCUUUCAGAGAUAAUGACUCUUGUACGAAGGUCAUGAAGAAUGAGUCUUUAUUUUUCAUAAGUAUAAUAUUACAAUGUAACAUUAUAACAAUUACUUAUUUCAUCUCGCAUGCCAGGAUGAUGUUAAGGUAUGUAUUAUAUAUAUUAAUAAAGUGGUACAAAUUAUAUAUUACAUUUGUACCUUCGGCUUGCUCGAAAGAGAGAAUGCGAGUACAACUUUUCAAUCCAACGUGAAUAGUACGGGGUAAUAUUCAUCUAUUUAUAGGCAAGGGACGCAGCCCAAGCAGAAGUACAAUUAUGACCCUGAUAUCUACACAUUGCUCUAAUACAAAUAUCAAGGAUAAACAAGUCUUUUCCUUGCUGGCUUGGUGUCAUGUAUGACCUUCGUGACCAUCUUAAGUCGAAGCUCCAAUUCUUGUCGAAGCUUCGCUACAUUUUAUGCAUGUUUGUUGCAUCUUUGGCACUUAGUUCCUUUGAUUACAAAUAGUUUCUUCAUCCUAAGGACCUUCAGCAUAGAAGGAGACCCCCAAUAGUAGCCCCUUCGUGGUGCUAGGUCGUUUUUUUCAUAACGAGCUUGAUUCGCGAAACACACGAAGGCUUUUGAAUGCCGAAGGUCCAAAAACACCUUCUCAGUUAGUAUGAGCGGCGCGGCAGUAUGCCUUCUUCACAUGCAAGGCUAUAUAAAUAGGUUGGUUGGUAAGAAGUUAUUACAUCAUUCCUUGCUUUUGCACUGUUGUUGUUGGGGGUAUUCUUCUCCGCCGAAGGUCCUCAAGGAAAAAACACCUUCGACAAAAUGAUACAAAGGUUUGCCGAAGUCACCUUCAGCCUUGAUUUAGCUCCUCAAGACGAAGACUCUGUAUAGAGGCAACAAUGCAAGAUGUCGAAGGUCAAUGGCCUCAACCCAGAUCAAGCAAGGAAGAAAAAAGGACCAGAUAGGCCUUAUUGGUUUUAGUUACAUGUAAACAAGAGUUCAGGGGCAUGAAUGUAAUUUUAUCCGGACUGCGUCCCGUGACUAUAAAUAGAUGAAUAAUACCCCCGUACUGUUCACGCUGGAUUGUAAUCACUCUCGCGCCAUUUUCGCUCUCUUACCUUCUGGCAAGCCGAAGGUGUCAAUAUAAUAUGAAUAUUGUUUAUGUUUAUUCAUGUUUAUGGAAUAUAAUAAUAAAUGAAUAGUUGAUACAUAACAAUUAUUAUCUUCAUUUUUAUAUUCCUUCACUUGCUUAUUUGUAUUCAUGUUUAUAUGUUGAAAUGAUGAAGGUGUGUCCUUCAUGACCUUCGUCUGAAGACCAUUAUAUCUGAGAGGAAAUAAUGCUUCGAAGGACGAAGGUCUUUAACUAUUGACAAUUGUGUUGCCUUGUUCUUGAUUUAUAGUAUUCGAGAACAAGUGACCAACAUUGGCGCCCACCUCCGGUGAACUCACUUCCGCAACUGCGACAAUGGCUUCGCAAGGCAACCAAGCUGCGCCACCUUCGACUACGAAGCUGGCGCUCCCAAUCACAGGCGGCUCAAGUUCUGAACCAGCCAACAAGAAACAGAAGAAGGAAGCACAGAGAAGGGUACAACAUGUUGAUGUGCAAGGACCCUUCAUCAGGUCCAAAUGGUCUCACAUACCAAUUACCUUCUCUCAGGAAGACCUUCAGCUUUAAGAUUAUCCUCACAACGAUGCAAUGGUCAUAUCUUGUGUCAUCAAGGGAUUUUUGGUCCAUAAUGUCCUGGUGGUCACAGGCAAUGCAGCGAACAUCAUUUUCAUGAAGGCUUUCAAGCAAAUGCAAGAGCCGGAUGACAAGAUACAUGAUGCAACACCCCCCUUUGUGGUUUCGGAGGAAGACAGAUUGUAGCGCUCGGCAAGAUAACCAUGUCAGUUACCUUCGGCUACGUUCACCACACAAGGACAGAACAGGUUGUCUUCGACAUUGUUGAUAUGGAAUAUCCAUAGAAUGCAAUCAUUGGUCGAGGGACACUCAAUGCCUUCGAAUCAAUACUUCAUCCAGCAUAUCUUUGCAUGAAGAUACAUUCGGAACAAGGCCCCAUUGUUGUACAUGAGAGUCAAGAAGCUGCUAGGAGAGCCGAAGUAAGUUGGACGGAUUCGAAGGCCAUCCAUAAUAUAGAUGAGGCCGAAGCUCAUCAGCAAUAUAAGCAUAAAAGAGAAAAGGCUGCUUCGGCAGAUCAACCAAAGUCCAUGCUUUUGUGUGAAGACAUAGCUGAGCAAAAGGUGCUAUUGGGAUCUCAAUUAUCUGAUGAGCAAGAGAAGACCUUGCUAAGAUUUUUGUUUAAUAAUAAAGAUGUUUUUGCUUGGUCAGCUAAUGAUAUCUGUGGUGUCAAUAGAGAUAUUAUUGAGCACUCGCUCAACGUAGACCCGUCCUUCAGACCAAGAAAACAGAGGCUUCGGAAAAUGUCCGAUGAUAAAGCCGAAGGUGCACGAAACGAAGUGAAAAGACUUCUAAGUGCCGGCAUUAUCAGAGAAGUGACAUACCCAGAGUGGCUGGCCAAUACCGUCAUGGUAAAGAAAGCAAACAGAAAAUGGAGAAUGUGUAUUGACUUUACAGAUCUCAAUAAGGCAUGCACGAAGGAUGAAUUCCCACUUCCAAGAAUAUAUUCCCUUUGCAAGUAUCUUCAUCCUCUGCUGAAGCUAGAGUUAUUGCUUCAUCGCCAAAUAGAAGUUUAAACGGAGUGAAACCCGUUGAUCUUGAAACCACAUUAUUGUGAUUCCACACCAGCUUUACUAAUUCAUCUGGACACUUUCUCUUUGGCAGAUUAAAGAUUGACCUCAUUAUUCCUUUGAUAAUGAUUCCAUUUGAUCGCUCUACUAAGUCGUUGGACUCUGGAUGUCUUACCAAUGCGAAAUGUAUCUUUGUUCUAAUUUGAUCACAGAAAGUUUUAAAUCUUCGGAGCGAAACUGUGCUCCAUUAUCAACUGUGAUGGCCUUCGGCACCCCAAACCGGCAGAUGAUAUUUUUCCAGAAAAGUUUCUAGAUUGUGGCUGAUGUUAUUAUAGCUAGUGGUUUAGCUUCGAUCCAUUUUGAGAAAUACUCCACUGCUACUACAACAUAUCUCAUAUUUCCUUGGGCUGGUGGAAGUGGUCCUAAUAAAUCUAAUCCCCAUCUCUGUAAUGGCUAAGUGGGCUGAAUUAGUUGUGUUAGAGAUGAAGGUUGCUUUUGAUCCCUGGCACACUCCUGACAAUUCUCACAUUUUUGCACUAGGUCUGCUGCAUCCAAAGCAGCCUUCGGCUAAUAGAAACCUUGUCUAAAUACCUUGCCUAAGAGUGGCCUGAAUCCAAUAUGUGCUUCACAUAUUCCUGAUUGUAUUUCUUUCAUCAACUCUUGACCUGCGACUUUGGAUAAACAUUUCAGCAAUGGGGAGCAGACCCCUUGUUUAAAAAA